GACGAACGCUGGCGGCGCGCCUAACACAUGCAAGUCGAACGAGCGAGAGAGAGCUUGCUUUCUCGAGCGAGUGGCGAACGGGUGAGUAACGCGUGAGGAACCUGCCUCAAAGAGGGGGACAGCAGUUGGAAACGACUGCUAAUACCGCAUAAGCCCACGACCCGGCAUCGGGUAGAGGGAAAAGGAGCAAUCCGCUUUGAGAUGGCCUCGCGUCCGAUUAGCUAGUUGGUGAGGUAACGGCCCACCAAGGCGACGAUCGGUAGCCGGACUGAGAGGUUGAACGGCCACAUUGGGACUGAGACACGGCCCAGACUCCUACGGGAGGCAGCAGUGGGGAAUAUUGCACAAUGGGGGAAACCCUGAUGCAGCGACGCCGCGUGGAGGAAGAAGGUCUUCGGAUUGUAAACUCCUGUUGUUGAGGAAGAUAAUGACGGUACUCAACAAGGAAGUGACGGCUAACUACGUG
rnacentral:rRNA from 1 species